rnacentral:rRNA from 1 species
CAGCCGCCGCGGUAACACGUAGGGUGCAAGCGUUAAUCGGAAUUACUGGGCGUAAAGCGUGCGCAGGCGGUUAUAUAAGACAGAUGUGAAAUCCCCGGGCUCAACCUGGGAACUGCAUUUGUGACUGUAUAGCUAGAGUACGGCAGAGGGGGAUGGAAUUCCGCGUGUAGCAGUGAAAUGCGUAGAUAUGCGGAGGAACACCGAUGGCGAAGGCAAUCCCCUGGGCCUGUACUGACGCUCAUGCACGAAAGCGUGGGGAGCAAACAGGAUUAGAUACCCGCGUAGUCCCUGUCUCUUAUAA